UAUGGAAGGCAGCAGUGGGGAAUAUUGCACAAUGGGCGCAAGCCUGAUGCAGCCAUGCCGCGUGUAUGAAGAAGGCCUUCGGGUUGUAAAGUACUUUCAGUCGUGAGGAAGGUGUUAAGGUUAAUAACCUUAGCAAUUGACGUUAGCGACAGAAGAAGCACCGGCUAACUCCGUGCCAGCAGCCGCGGUAAUACGGAGGGUGCGAGCGUUAAUCGGAAUUACUGGGCGUAAAGGGCACGCAGGCGGUUAAUUAAGUUGGAUGUGAAAUCCCCGGGCUUAACCUGGGAAUGGCAUUCAAGACUGGUUAGCUAGAGUCUUGUAGAGGGGGUGAAUUCCAUGUGUAGCGGUGAAAUGCGUAGAGAUGUGGAGGAAUACCGGUGGCGAAGGCGGCCCCUGGGACAAAGACUGACGCUCAUGUGCGAAAGCGUGGGGAGCAAACAGGGAUUAGAUACC
rnacentral:rRNA from 1 species